rnacentral:rRNA from 1 species
UACGGAGGAUGCGAGCGUUAUCCGGAUUUAUUGGGUUUAAAGGGUGCGUAGGCGGGAUGCCAAGUCAGCGGUAAAAAUGCGGUGCUCAACGCCGUCGAGCCGUUGAAACUGGCGUUCUUGAGUGGGCGAGAAGUAUGCGGAAUGCGUGGUGUAGCGGUGAAAUGCAUAGAUAUCACGCAGAACUCCGAUUGCGAAGGCAGCAUACCGGCGCCCUACUGACGCUGAGGCACGAAAGUGUGGGUAUCGAACAGG